rnacentral:lncRNA from 1 species
UUGACCGCUAUUGGGCUUCCUUACGUAGAUCGUAGAGUGUUGGAUCAAGGUGUUAGAUGUUCCAAAGAUGAAAUCGAUGGUACCAGAGAUAACACAGUCGCGGUAGAAUUGCCUAUUGGAUUGAACGUACAAGGUGUCUUGGUAACCUACAAAUUCGCAACCAACGAAAGCAGACAUAUCUCCUUGGUUUCUCAAAGCAACGGCUUGAUGACCAUCAGGACCGAUUGUGUUCCGAAAUGUCAUUGCCUUUGCAAUGAACCCACGUGCAGUGUUGACUGCACACACGAAUGGAUAAUCAAUUAGAAAUGUCAUCCAUAAUGUAUAUAAAAUAAAAUAAAGUUACGACGAGAAUUGAAUUACGUACCAAAGGUGCCGGUGUACAUGGUCUUGAUAUUAGCUAUGCCAUAGUUCCUACUACCGGUGAUAAUGGUCAUUUGAGGGCCAUCACCAUACAUAGUCAAAUUAACGCAAUGUUUGGUGACAUUGACCUGCUCGUCAUAGACACCAGCCUUAACGUAGAUAAUAUAUCUUCCUUUGUUUCCCUUAGGGUAAGAAUUAAUAGCAUCCAUAAUUGUUUUAAAUUGGCCAGUACCAUCCUUGGCAACAACAACAUUAGGCUUAAUUUUUGAUCUCCAUCCUUUUCGUUGCAUUUGAGCCAAAAGCUUGCGGUCAGUAGCGGAGAUCCAUGUAGGGAAUCCUUGCUCAUUAUCAAUUUCCUUAGAUAGAAGACGACGAGAGUCAGGUUUGAGAUCCAAUUUCAAACCGAAUUCUUGGAGUAUGUUGGACAAAUCAGACACAAUGUCAAGAGCAACAACAGUGACCUUUGUCGCGCUGUCUAUAGUCUGAGCAUGUAAUUGAUCCUUAAUUUUCUUCUCACCCUCUUUUUCAUUGUCAAACCCUUCCAUGCAAGCUUGUUUGUAAGAGAUAACUGCACUCAACCAAUUCCUGAGAUCAGCAUUUUGAGCAUGAACAGAUUGAAUGUUUUUGUCACGAACCACGGUGGUGGAGAGAUCAAGACUGUCCAAAGCAAACUCCAUCAUCUCUUUGCAGCCAUCAAGAGCCAUCUUGAUGCCGCUAUCCUUGUCGCCGUACUCAACACUGAGUCUAUCACUCAUGUUAAAUGCCUUAAUGACAUUGUCAGUGGCUGCUUUCAAAGCAGCCGCUAGGUAUGCCUUAGGAUUUGCAGCAUCGGCGCCACAGACAGAGCUAAGAGUUUCAUAGCAGUAUUUUUGGUCUUCUGCAUUUUGGCAAAUAACUCCAAGAUAUCUUUGUUGAGUUUGAAUCUCAGGAUCUUCACCUUUUCUGUGAACAACAACAACAACACCGAUGGCAACACCUACAAUAAGUAUAAGAGAAACAAUAGAUAUAAUUAUCUUUCCUGACAUUUUUUAAUAUUUUGCUCGGAAAUUUUAUUAGAAUAAGACCCCUUCCCCUUGGGUGUUGGGGUGGGGAGGCUUAUUGGAGAUCUUACUGAGAUAUUGAAACAUGUUUAGUUUUUAUAGGUAACACAAAAAAAAUUCAGCCAACCAAAGAGAAAAUCUAUAUUUAGCAAUUUCAUAAAUGAUAGGCACAUAAUUAUCGUUAUGAAUGAGUUGAAAGUUGAAACAAUCUACUGCUAUUUUUUAGUACAGUAGAGCAUUUAUAUUUUAUAUAUGAUUAGCCAUCAUGCGAUAGAUCAUUCAAAAGAGAGAUGUAGAGAAAAUGGAAUGAAAUGCUCCAAUUUGAUCACAAUGAGUUUAUUAGAAUCACAAUUGCAUCGUAAUAUUUUAGAACAUAUACUUUUCAACUUUUGUAAAAUAUUUUAGAAUCUAACAAUUUUUUUUAUGAUAGUACAUAGGGCCGAUCUUUAGACUUUGAGUGCUCUAAACGAACUAAUAAGAUGGUUUUUUUUUUAACUUAAUAAUUUUAUGACAUUUUAUUCAUAGCAAUCGAUCGAAUAUAAUUUGAAAUAUUCAUAUAGCUCCUUCCUGCAACUCUACAACUUCCCAUGAGUUCUUUCCCAAAUAUGGAAAUGAACACUACAACAUCUCCUGAACCCAUAAUCUGUGAGCAUUAGAAAGUAGCCUCAAAUGCAUGGCAUGCAAAUCGGAUACUUUUUUUUUUCUUUAACGAUAAAUUUAUUAUUCAAAUGGAAGAAAGUACAACGAGCACUUUAGCCAAUUACAUAUCUUAUACCAAAUCUUCAUCGCAAACUUACAUGUAAUACAAAUCGGAUUCACAUGCAUCAAACAGCCUCCUGACUGUACAGCAUCAAAUGGUUACAUCUUCAGGUUUGUUCUGUAGACUAAGACAAGCCUGUUUAGUUUAUUUGGUUGUCAUUUUAAAUUAUGUGUUCUGAACAUAAAACUUUUUUGGUUAUUGAUCUGAGUUAUUGAUUUUUUAAAAUUUAUUUUGACUAAAAUUGAAGUAUAGGUAAAAUGAUUUAUGUUUGAAUACAAUAAUUAUAAAAGUGGGUUGAACAAUAAUUUUAAAUGUAAAAAUCAAUUUUUGAAGUAGAGAGACUACAAUUUCUAUUUUCAAAGAGAAAUAAAACAUGUCAAAAUCAAUUAUACAUCUCUAGAAUCAAUUUUGGCAUCACCAAAAGGAGAACCAUUCAUAUAUUGUACUAAUUAAGCUUGAAAGAUAGUUUUUAUUUUUUGUUUUAGUUAAGGACUGUUAUUAAGAAUGAUAAUUCACAAAAUCAAGUAUUAACAAGAGUGAAAUGUAUAAGGCUUGUCUUACCAAAUACUUUAUUUUCUUUAGUAUUAACCCUCUGAUUUCUCGGAGAAGGGGUCCGUCUAUACAAAGUUUAGCGCCGAGGUAAGUAAAAUCUUACUAAGAAUUAUUCCUAUUAGAAUCAAACUCAGAUUUUCCCGAACGAUUUGGCCUAGAGGAAACCCAUUAACCACUUGUGUCCAAUUUUUUUGUUUGACUUGCCAAAUAGUUGAUCAUAAAUGUUUUUGUAUAACAAGUAACAAGAAACUAUAGAGUAAAGACCAAAUUUGCUACAGGUUUGUGGAAAUCAGCACACACAAAGAAGUUCUUUAGUUAAAAAUAAUCAUUUGUUUACAUGAAGAUUAUUAGAUGUGCCCAGGAAAGGAAAACAAAGGGAACACUGGCACUUCAGUGUGCCCAGGAAGAGCGAGAAUAAAAUGGAUUGCCCUUCCUUCAAAGAAUCGGGAUGAGUUCACUUUGCAAUCAGUGAUCAUGUAACUUUUAUUGAUUCAAAUUAUUCAUUUUCACUUACAUUUAAAUAUAAUAUAUUGUAGGAGUAUACUAAGUAUUAAUAACCAUCAAUUGGAAUUGAAGUAUAUAUGAAGUUCCACGCAUGAUUCCUGCUCGGAAGUCAUCAAGGAAGAAAUGGAUUGUGUGAAGGACAGUCCUCCUUUUGCCUUUUGUAAGCCCUGCGUGAAAGUAGCAUAAAGGGUUUCGAUGUUAAUGAAUAAGUGCGAGGUUCAUUUGUAGUAGUAAUAUAUAUACAAAAUACAAAAAAAAUGUGAAACAUAAGCCACGGAAUUUGUAGUCAAGCAAGCACCUUGAAGCAUUGAAGCCACCAAGCGCAACUGUUCCCAGAAUAAUUAAAAGGAAUGGAACUUUAAUCAUGGCAUGAUUUUUUCUUCCUCCAUUGGCUCUUGGAACACCGGUUCUCACAACUCGCCAAUAUUCAGCUGAAAAACAAUCAUGCCACAUUUAAAUAAGGUAAAGAGAAGGAGGAAAAUUGCUUUUAAAUGAUGCACAGAACUGAGGAUUCGGAAUAGGAAUUAACCUGAAUUUGAAGCUUCUCCUUUUCCACCUGUGUUUUGAAUUUUAUUCAGUACUUUGAAAGAAGUUGCAAGACAGAUAUAAAAAAAAGCAGUAGGGAAGAUAAGGGCCUUUUACAAAUAAUAUAAUUUCCCAAUGAGUUCACAUCAAGAAGCUAAGGACCUGUUUUGGUUUCAAUUUUCUCUUCUCAUUUCUAAUUUUCACUUUCAAUUAUAAAAAACAUUGUUUUCACCUUGUUUUGGUUUUCAAAGUAUUUUAUACAUAAUUAUUUGAAAACAGAAAAUAAAAAGCAAAAACAAUGUGAUAUUAUGCAAUUAAAAGUGAAAAGAAAAAAUGAAAAAAAAGAAUGUAAACAGACCCAACAGACCCUUAUCUAUGCUCUAGGUAACUUAAUCACAUGUUGCCACUACCGAAGAUGGAAUUGUGAGACAAAAGAAACAAAAAAAUUGUAACUGCUAGAGUACUAGAACAACAACCUAAUGUUUCAUUCAAAUUAGGGGCUGGGUAGGAAGCCAAAAUAAUGAAAUAUAUAGGUAAAAUAUAAUCAUAUUUACAUAAUCUUUCGCUACAUGAUGCAUAUUUAUCAUAGACAUUCAAGCAUGAAAUUGCCUAUAGAUGCUGAUAGCUCCCAGAAUAUAUCAAGAACAUAGUGGAGCUUUUCGAAAGUUAUUUUUUCCAAUAAUCCAAUCUUCUAGUAGUCAAAGUACUCAUUUCGAGAUGGCCAUACGCUAUUCAUGAUUCAUGCUAAUGCUAUAAGUAUAAAUUGUGAAUUGAACUAAAAUAUCAAAGAUAUUAUUUUAAGGAUUGGUGAGCUGAGGAGUUUAAACACUUUUGUAAUUCAAUAACCAGUACUGAAUUUGGGGAAAUAAUAUAAUAAGGUAUAUAAAAUUAUUCAUCAACAUUCAGUUUCUCCUAUAAUUCCAACUGUAUGUUCAGGGGUUUGCAUACCAUGAACGACGUUUGGAAUAUUUAUUCUGAGUACAAGGACUCUGGAGAAUUACCGGGCAAUAGACAUGUGUAAGCUUCGGAAAUCUGCAGCAAAACAUAAGUUCAGUCACUUAUCACGUCUUCCAGUUAACAAAGGGGAAUUACUGCCUUCAAAGUGUUCUAUGAAGAAAAAAACUCCCAACUAAAAUCAAUAUUACGGAAAUUAUUACAUUGACACACGAAUCUCUAAAACAGAUAAACAGCCACUAUAUUCAUUCAAGACACAAUUAACCUGUGAGGAUGUUAUGACGAACUUUUUAUGUUCUGAGUCACAUACUCAUAUCAGUUUCCUCUUUACAAUCACAACACACCUUAAGCCACAAGAUUAAAACACUAGAACAAUACUAGGCUUAUACCAAAUGUUGUAAUUUUGAAGAAACUAAAUUAGCCCACCCAAAUUGGCACCAGAGAUAAUCAAACCUGAGACCUUAAGGAGGAGCACACUCCCACGUCCCAAGCUAAUACCACCAGACCAACCUAAGUGGGUUGGCUUAUAACAAAUGUUGUAAUAUUAUGUCGAACUCCUAGAACAAAUUCCCCUCCUCUAACAAACAAAUAAACCACUAAUAAUUUACAUACAAAAAAAAAAAAAAAAUCUUGUGAAAUCCCCAAGAUCACCAUCACAAUUCAUCACCAAAAUUCUUAUGACGAAAUAGAAAAAAAAAGGAAAAGAAAUUGAUUGAAUUGCUGACUCACUGAUUUAAACUUGGACUCAGCAAGAGGCUUCUGAUGAGAUGGAAAUAGGUCAGGGUGAGAUUCCCAAACCUUCUGUUUGUAAGCUGAUUUAACCUAAACACAAACAUCAUCAAGUUAAUAAUUAAGAAAUGAUUGAAAAUUAGGGAAACAAAGCACGAAGAUGAUAAUUGGAAAAUUAUGAUAGUGAAUUAAAGAGGGUCGGGAUCAAAAAGUGAAAUUGAGUUGAUAAAGGGAUUGAAUUUAGAUUAUAGAAAUAGAAAUUGAAAGAAUAAUAAAAACCCUAAAAAGAAAGAAGUAACUACCUGGGAAGGAGUUGGACGCGAAUUGGGCGGGAAACCGAGUAGGAUUCUGGCUUCAUUUGCAUCCAUUUUUUAUUGAUUGUUUGUAACACUCACAACAACCUUAAUUAGGAAAAUCGUGUGUUUUUUCUUUUUGUAUUUCUUGCAUGUGGUUUAUAUCUUGUCAUAAGGGGUAAAAUAAAGUCUAGACACAAGACUAUUUUUCUUGAAUGGUCAAUUAUUCUUUUGCAAUUGAUUGUUUCUAUAGUUAAAUAUGGAGUUGAUAUAAUAUGAUUGAUCAGUAAAAAAAAUCAAAACAAAAAUGAAAAUUGAAGCUUAUAAUAUAGUUUAGUCUGAGCAAAAUUUGAUUUGUAUUUAUGGUGGAUCUCCUGGAUAAAAACAGGAAAGAUAAUUACAAAAAAAUAUCGAAUUGUCUGUGUGCCAUCAUUCAUAUUCAUGAGUAAGUUACAUGUUUAAUUAAUUUCCAACUUUGAAGUCAAGGGUGUGAGGAACAUCAAGAGCCUUCAACCAGGUGGCUGCAGAAGUGUUUUCAGCCUGGAGCCAAUUAGCAGUGGUGAAGUUUCUAGCCUCGUCCCGGCUAAUCUUACCACGAUAACCCUUCCACUUGAUCCUUCUGGAAGUAUCGGCACUAAGUCCAGUGUUGUCAUACUCUGCUAAGUAACAUGUGUCCAAAUAUAGAUCAGUACCGUCCUUAGCUUUCAUAGCGACCCAUCCAUCUGGAUUAAUAAAGUCACCCAUGAAGGAUUCCAUGAAGACUAUCCUUGCAUUUGUCUUCCAUGGCCUGCCCAAGUAAGUUUGGAUUUGGUGCCUUACAGGGAACAAUUCACGCUCUGCGACGAUCUUGCAGUCCUGGAUCACAAUACCAGUGUUCAACUUCUUGGAAUCUUCUGAUCCGUCUGCGGUAAUUGCGUUGAAUUGACCCUGCAUGGGCUUCCUUACGAUGAUCGUAGAGUGUUGGAUCAAGGUGUUAGACAUUCCAAAGAUGAAAUCGAUGGUACCAGAGAUCUCACAGUUGCGGUAGAAUUGCCUAUUGGAUUGAGCGUACAAGGUGUCUUGGUAACCUACGAUUUUGCAACCAAUGAAAGCAGACAUAUCUCCUAGGUUUCUCAAAGCAACAGCUUGUUCGCCAUCAGGACCAGCUGUGUUCUCAAAUGUCAUGUCCCUUGCAAUAAACCGCAAUGCAUCGUUGCCUGCACCCACGCAUGGAUAAUCAAUUAGUAAUGUCAUUCAUAAUGUAAAUAAAAUAAAGCUAUGACGAGAAUUGAAUUAUGUACCAAAGCUGGCGCCAUGAUUGAUAUCAAUUUUAUCCUUGGCUUCGUUCUUACUACCGGUUAUAAUGGUCUUUCGAGGGCCAUCGCCGUACAUAAGCAAGUUACGGCAAUCUUUGAGGACAGUGAUUUGCUCGUCAUAGACACCAGCCUUAACGUACAUAACAUAUCUUCCUUCGUUUCCCUUUGGGCAGUGAUUAAGAGCAUCCGUAAUUGUUUUAAAUUGGCCAGUACCAUCCUUGGCAACAACAACAUUAGGCUUAAUUUUCAAUCUCCAUCUUUUUCCUUGCUUUUGAGCUAAAAGCUUGCGAUCAGUAGCAGAGACCCAGGUAGGGAAUCCUUCCUCGAUAUCAAUUUCCUUAGAUAGAAGACGACGAGAGGCAGGUUUGAGAUCUAACUUCAAACCGAAUUCCUGGAGUAUGUUGGACAAAUCAGACACAAUGUCAAGAGCAACAACGGUGACCUUUGUCGCGCGGUCUAUAGUCUGAGCAUGCAAUUGAUCCUUCAUCUUCUUCUCAACCUCAUUUUCAUCGUCAAAUCCUUCCAUGCAAGCUUGUUUGUAAGAGAUAACUGCACUCAACCAAUUCCUGAGAUCAGCAUGUUGAGCAUGAACAGAUUGAAUGUUUUUGUCACGAACCACAGUGGUGGAGAGAUCGAGACUGUCCAAAGCAAACUCCAUCAUCUCUUUGCAGCCAGCAAGAACCAUCUUGGUGUGCCUAUCCUUGUCGCCGUACUCAACAAUGAGUCUAUCACUCAUGUUAAAUGCCUUAAUGACAUUGUCAGUGGCUGCUUUCACUGCAGCCGCUAUGUAUGCCUUAGGAUCUGAAGCGUCAGCGCCACGGAUAGAGCUAAGAGUUUCAUGGCAGAGUUUUUGGUCUUCUGCAUUUUGGCAAAUAACUCUAAGAGAUCUUUGUUGAGUUUGAAUCUCAGGAUCUUCACCUUUUUUGUGAACAGUAACAACAACACCGAUGGCAACACCUACAACAAGAAUAAGAGAAAUAACAGAUAUAAUUAUCUUUCCUGACAUUUUUUAAUAUUUUGCUCGGAAAUUUUAUUAGAAUAAGACCCCUUCCCCUUGGGUGUUGGGGUGGGGAGGCUUAUUCGAGAUCGUACUGAGAUAUGGAAACAUGUUUGGUUUUUAUAGCUAAACUCAAAAAAAAUUAAGCCAACCAAAGAGAAAAUCUAUAUUUAGCAAUUUCAUAAAUGAUAGGCACAUAAUUAUCGUUAGGAAUGAGUUGAAACAAUCUACUGCUAUUUUUUAGUACAGUAUAGCAUUUAUAUUUUAUAGUAUAUGAUUAUCCACCAUGCACUAUUUGAUAGAUCAGUCCAAAGAGAGAUAUAGAGAAAAUGAAAUGAAAUGCUCCAAUUUGAUCACAAUGAGUUUAUCAGAAUCACAUAUGCAUCGUAAUAUUUUAGAACANNNNNNNNNNNNNNNNNNNNNNNNNNNNNNNNNNNNNNNNNNNNNNNNNNNNNNNNNNNNNNNNNNNNNNNNNNNNNNNNNNNNNNNNNNNNNNNNNNNNNNNNNNNNNNNNNNNNNNNNNNNNNNNNNNNNNNNNNNNNNNNNNNNNNNNNNNNNNNNNNNNNNNNNNNNNNNNNNNNNNNNNNNNNNNNNNNNNNNNNNNNNNNNNNNNNNNNNNNNNNNNNNNNNNNNNNNNNNNNNNNNNNNNNNNNNNNNNNNNNNNNNNNNNNNNNNNNNNNNNNNNNNNNNNNNNNNNNNNNNNNNNNNNNNNNNNNNNNNNNNNNNNNNNNNNNNNNNNNNNNNNNNNNNNNNNNNNNNNNNNNNNNNNNNNNNNNNNNNNNNNNNNNNNNNNNNNNNNNNNNNNNNNNNNNNNNNNNNNNNNNNUUGAUCACAAUGAGUUUAUUAGAAUCACAAAUGCAUCGUAAUAUUUUAGAACAUGUACUUUUCAACUUUUGUAUAGUUUUUUUUUUUUGUUGGUUUUUCACCACCAGUUGAAUCUGGUUCGGGGUCAGUUCUGGCAUCAAUUNNNNNNNNNNNNNNNNNNNNNNNNNNNNNNNNNNNGUUGCGGGGGAUCGAUCUUUAGACUUUGAGUGCUCUAAACAACUAAUAAGAUGGAUUGAAAAGAAGGUUUCACUAGUCUUGAAAUUCUUCUUCCCAGUUUCAAUAGUUUUCCUCUUAAGGCUUGUUUUCUUCCAACCUUAGGUAGCAGAUUAUUGUUCUACAUCUGUUGAUGAUCAUUGCAGAUUUUUAAUUCUGUGGCAUUGCUUUCCCUGCUAUCUUUUCUCCACAAAUUGAUUUGAAGUAUAAGGGGUACUCGCCCCAGAAGAAAGUACAAUGAACACUAUAGCCAAUUACAUAUCUUAUACCAAAUCUUCAUCGCAAACUUACAUGUAAUUGCAUCUUCAGUUUUGCAUCUUCAGUUUUAGUGAAGGUUAUUUGCAGUAUUUGAAUACAAUAAUUAUAAUGUGGGUUGAACAAUAAUUUUAAGUGUAAAAAUCAAUUUUUGAAGUAGAGACUACAAUUUCUAACUUCAACUAGAACCUAUUUUACACUAGAGAAAUAAAACAUGUCAAAAUCAAUUAUACAUUUCUAGAAUCAAUCUUGGCCUCUCUAGAAGAACCAUUCAUAUAUUGUACUAAGCUUGAAAGAUAGUAUAUUUGAAAUAGUUAAGGACUGUUAUUAAGAAUGAUAAUUCACUAAGAAUAGAAAAUCAAGUUUUAACAAGAGUGAAAUGUAUAAGGCUUGACAUACCAAAUACUUUAUUUCUUUCGUAUUAACCCUCGGAUUUUCAGGAGAAGAGGUCCGGUUAUACAAAGUUUGGCCGCGAGGUAAAUAAAAUCUUACCAAGAAUUGUUCCCAUUAUAAAUCAAACUCGGAUUUUACCGAAUGAUUCGUCCUAGAAGAAACUCAUUAACCAGUUGUGCCCAAUUUUUUGGUUUGACUUGCUAAAUAGUUGAUCAUAAAUGUUUUUGUAUAACAAGUAACAAGAAACUAGAGUUAAGACCAAAUUUACUACAUAUUUGAUGGAAAUUAAAUCAGCACACAAAAAGAACUUCUUUAGUUAAAGGUAAUGAUUGGUUUACUUUAGCAUAUAUUUAGUUGAAGCUAACAAAACUGAUUUUCACAACAUAAGAAAUCAUGAAGAUUAUUACAUGUGCCCAGGAAGACAAAGGGAAGAAUAAAAUGGAUUGUCAUUCCUUCAAAGAAUCAGGAUGAGUUCACUUUGCAAUCACUGAUCAUGUAAACUUUUAUUGAUUCAAAUUAUUCAUUUUCACUUACAUUUAAAUAUAAUAUAUUGUAGGAGUAUAUACUAAGUAUUAAUAACCAUCAAUUGAAAUUGAAGUAUAUAAGAAUAAAGUUUCAGGCAUGCAUGAUUCCUGCUCAGGAGUCAUCAAGGAAGAAAUGGAUUGUGUGAAGGAUAGUCCUCCUUUUGCCUUUUGUAAGCCCUGCGCGACAGUAGCAUAUAGGUUUCGAUGUUAAUGAAUAACAAUCAUGCCACAUUUAAAUAAGGGAAAGAGAAGGAGGGAAAUUGCUUUUAAAUGAUGCACAGAACUGAGGAUUCGGAAUAGGAAUUCACCUGAAUUUGAAGCUUCUCCUUUUCCACCUGUGUUUUGAAUUUUAUUCAGUACUUAGAAAGAAGUUGCAUGACCAGAUAUAAAAAAAAAAAGCAGUAGGGAAGAUAAGGGCUAGUAUACUAGGACAACAACCUAAUGUUUCAUUCAAAUUAGGAGCUGGGGAGGAAGGCAAAAUAAUGAAAUAUAUAGGUAAAAUAUGAUCAUAUUUACUUAGUUUUUCGCUAUAUGGCCAUACGCUAUUCAUGAUUCAUGGGAUGCAAUGCUCUAAGUAUAAAUUGUGAAUUGAACUAAAAUAUCAAAGAUAUUAUUUUAAGGAUUGAUGAGCUGAGGAGUUUAAACACUUUUGUAAGUCAAUAACCAGUACUGAAUUUGGGGAAAUAAUAUAAUAAGGUAUAUAAAAUCAUUCAUCAACAUUCAGUUUCUCCUAUAAUUACAACUGUAUGUUCAGGGCUUCAUUUGCAUCCAUUUUUGAUUGAUUGUUUGUAACACUCACAAACAAAACACUCACAACCUUAAUUAGGAAAAUCGUGUGUUUUUUGAAUUUCUUGCAUGUGGUAUAUAUCUUGUCAUAAGGGGUAAAGUAAAGUCUAGACACAAGACUAUUUUUUUUGAAUGGUCAAUUAUUCUUUUGCAAUUGAUUGUUUCUAUAGUUAAAUAUGGAUUUGAUAUAUGAUUGAUCAGUAAAAAAAAUCAAAACAAAAAUGAAAAUUGAAGCUUAUAAUAUAGUUUAGUCGGAGCAAAAUUUGAUUUGUAUUUAUGGUGGAUUUCCUAGAUAAAAACAGGAAAGAUAAUUACAAAAAAAUAUCGAAUUGUCUGUGUGCCAUCAUUCAUAUUCAUGAGUAAGUUACAUAUUUAAUUAAGAUCUAACUUUGAAGUUAAGGUAGUUAGGAACAUGAAGAGCCUUCAACCAGGUGGCUGCGGAUGUGUUUUCAGCCUUGAGCCAAUUAGCAGCGGUGAAUCUUUCAGCCUCGUCCCGGCUAAUGAGACCGCGAUAACCCUUCCACUUGAUCCUUUUGGAAACAUCGGCACCAGGUCCUAUGUUGCCACUGGGUCCAGUGUUGGCAUACUCUGCUAUGUAACAUAAAUCCAUAUUUAUCUCAAUACCAUCCUUUAUCCAAGGGGUCCAUCCAUCUGGAUGAAUAAAGUCACCGAUGGUGGAUUCCAUGAAGACCAUCCUUGAAUAUGCCUUCCAUGGCCUGCCCAAGUAAGAUCUGAUUUGGGACUUUACCAAAUCUUCAUCUGUGACGAUCUCGCAGCCCUGGAUCACAAUACCAGUGUUCGUAUGCUGAGAAUCUACGGUUCCAUCUGCGGUAAUUGCGUUGAAUUGAUUGCUCUUGGGCUUCCUUACGAUGAUUUUAGAGUCUUGGAUCAAGGUGCUAGACAUUCCAAAGAUGAAAUCGAUGGUACCAGAGAUAACACAGUUGCUGUAGAAUUGCCUAUUGGAUUGAGCGUACAAGGUGUCUUGGUAACCUUUGAUUUCGCAACCAACGAAAGCAGACAUAUCUCCUAGGUUUCUCAAAGCAACAGCUUGAUUGCCAUCAGGACCGGCUGUGUUCUCAAAUGUCAUGUCCCUUGCAAUAAAUCGCUCUGCAUCGUUGCCUGCACCCACGCAUGGAUAAUCAAUUAGUAAUGUCAUCCAUAAUGUAAAUAAAAUAAAGUUAUGGCGAGAAUUGAAUUACGUACC